AGAGAGAGAGAGAGAGAGAGAGAGAGAGGUAGAAAGAUCAGGAUAGUUUUACUUUGAAAUUAUUACGCGACUAAACCAACAACAUAAAAACCAACUGAAACACCAGCUUGGAAACCAGUUUGGUGGAUUGAUCGUGAUAAUCUGGGAUUUAUGCAAGGGCCGUGGGGGGGGGGGGGGGGUUGGGGGAAGCGUUUGGGUCUGGGAUGCGAUCGAAAUUGCAAAUUAAUCCAAUACAGUCAAGUGACAAACAAAGGGAUGUGCAUUAUCCAAAUGAAACUUUCUCCCUGUUGAUGGCGGUGUGAUGUAUUGGAAGAAAACAAGGGGUUUUGUCAAAAACGCGUUCACUUUGGUAGGAACAGAAGUUCGGCCAAAAACUCCCAACUAAGACAAACAAAAAGUGUUUCUCUGUAAUUGUGUCCAAACUGAAAAAAGUUUUUUUUACUACAAAUACACAAAUAAUUCGUCUCACUCGUCUUGGAAAAGAUGUUCCAACCAUAAUACACAGAUAAACAAUAGAAGCAGAGCAGAAAAGUGGAUAGGUUUCGUUUUGAGAGAGUUUAAAGCAGCAAAGACUUUCCCAGAUUUCGCUGUUUGCACGGGUUGUACUCCUUGUAAGAAACAACAUACUCACACAUCGCCUUACAUGUGGGUGUGCCCGUUGUAUUUUCCUUAUUAUAGUCUUAUUAUUUAAAGCAACAAAUCGUAAACAGUUACAAAAAUUGGUAACAACAUGUCGUAAGAAUCGUUAGGUGCAAGAAUAAAUAAUUAGUGAAAAAAAUCUACACGUUUAAACUUAGUGUGCUCUGGGUAGGUGGGUCAUACGAGUUAUUGUUAUAGAAUGUUGCACAUAAAAAUAGUGAUGUCCCGCUUGCAUUAGUUCUCUCCUACCAAAAGCACCGUGUUCAUUUCAAAUGCGAUAUUCUGAUCGGAGAUCGGAAAACUUAUCCACAAUUCAGUACACUCUGAGUGCAAAUAUUGCAAACGAAAACGCGCGAGUCUAAGGCAAAUAAGCAUGGGGACGAGGGAAAACUAAGUAAGAUUUGAAAAAAUAUCUUUCAAAUAUCGAAAAAAUAAAAGAAGUAAACCCAUGUGUACGCGGUGGAUCGUGUUGGCAACACAGAGCGGAAUAAACAAAGACGUAGAGGAUGAAUGUUCUCGAAGAAAAGAAAAACAAACCGAGAAAAACGACUAAAAAACAACAUACGUAGAGCAACUAGCAGACAUUAGCUCGUGAAAUCAAUGAACAAAACCUAAAAACAGAAACAAAACACUAAAACAAAAGUACGAACUUUGCAUCAGCGCAAGUAUCGAUCGAAUAUAGCUUUCGGGCGAACAGUUCGCACCGAUCCCAAUGCCACAACGCAAAUUCGGAAAAGUAAACCUUCAACGUACAAAUGUUCAAACGUAGUUUGCAAACUAUACAUUUGCACCCUCCCGGGAGGGGGCGUAAGUUAGGCGUAGCGGCAAAACAGGCAAGCCAACUGACGAAACAACUGAACAAACUUGAGACCAACGAAAAGUGACACCAAACGGAUUCGAACCGAAAACGCAUUGCUAGAGCAAGAUUGCAGCAAUCGAAGACAACAUACGUAACUAAAACGAAUAAGUAAAGGGGCACGAGAAGCGCAAUCGAAACCCUUUAGAAAGAAUCAUUCAUAGAAAUUGAGAAAACAACACAAACAAAACCGGAGAAGAUAAUAGAUUAGUGAAAGGUGUGAAUAGUAGAGAAAGAUGGAGAAGACCAAAGUUACCUUUCAGAGAUCUUUUCCGAAACACACCUUCAUGGUAGGGCGCAACAUGGGAAUGCGUGCAGUAACAGGCAUAUAUUGUCGAGGUAUUAGUACGAAAUCGGAACAAUAGUUUAUGGUAAUGGGGUAUAACAAACAAAACAGAUGCUUUCGAAUGGAUGAUUCUGUUUCUGCAUGGAAUGGGGUUGGUGUUGCUGCUUAACGGUUAAGGAAGUGAGCCGAGACAACAGUGUUGGAUGUGUUUCCUGUGUAAAUUUUGCAAACCAAAACCAGCACAGCCUAUCCAAUGAAAGGGCGAUGCAUUUGCACACUGACACUCAGCAGAUAGCAUCAGAAUGAAUCAAACCCUAUCACUAUACACAGUUCAAGGAGACAGUAAACAAAGACAAAACGUAUAAACAAACACAGUAGAAAUUAAAGGAACAUAGUAAAACAUUGGUACAAAACUCAAAACUUCAGUAACAAAAAUGAAAAAAAAAACAAAACAAAAUAACGCUCUAGUAAUUUUGAUAAAAAGCCAAUUUUUAAAACUCAAACUAUGAGUUACACACACACACAUCCUCUUCUCCCUAAACGGAAUAUAAAUUUGGUUACGAAAAAAACCUAACAACAUUAAAGCUUCAUACAGAACGUAUAAACUUAAAGUUAAAAAAAUCAAUGAACCUCACGUUCCCAAUAAAUCAAUCAGCAGUCAAUACAACACGCAAACACACACACACACACAUAGUAUAAAUACACGUACAGUGAUCUAGCGAGACGAACGGAUGAUAAUUCAUAACGGACAUCAUAAUUGGCAGUACCACUCGCAACACAACACAACUAAUGAAAAAUGCUUAAAUUGUAUGAUUUGAAGUGUCUUGAAGAUCUUUGACGCAAAUAGAGAAUAAGCAUUGAGUAAGCUUCUGUUCUUCAGUAACGUGUUUCCAUCCAAUAAAACAAAAACAAAACACCCAGCUCCAGCCAUAGGACUGACCGAGUUUCAACGAACAGACAAUGAGCGUGUAAUCUGUUGUAUUUCAUGCUUUUUAAAUUUGAACAAAAUGCAGAACAAUGUCCACAGGACUAAACGAUGGUAAAAUGAAAAGAAAAGCUAUAGGAAACAAAAUAAAACUACUAUUUCUUCCGUUCGGACCAUCACGCAACGGAUCAAUAACGGAAAACGAUACAUCAGACAAGGACUCCCUCCCCCUUUUGCUGUGCUACCAGUACUGUAUCAUGCUUGACUCUUGGAGAUGGCUUUAGUGUGGCAGUUAUCGAGGAGCAUGAGGACAUUACAGCAUGGCUUUGAAUGAGCAGAGCUUGCCGCCCAUGAUUGUCAGCUAGCACCAGACAGCAUCGGCAUUAUGGCGAGCUUGGUAUAGUUGCGUGUUAUCGAUUUUGAUAGAAAUAUAUCAACAACGGAAAGAAUGAUGCGCGCUGCUGAUGCGGUCAAAACAUGGAAAACGAAUGAAAACUACAGAUACCUCUAUAUAUCUAUCUAUGUAUAUGACAAAUUCGUUAAUCAAGGUAUCAACCAGUCGUUAGAGUAAAUUGUUUGCUAAUAAUAGAGAGAGUGAGAUACGGUAGCAAAAUCUGUCGCAUAGAGCAAG